rfam:Ciona savignyi cont_35288, whole genome shotgun sequence.
GUCGUCGUGGCCGAGUGGUUAAGGCGACAGACUUGAAAUCUGUUGGGCUCUGCCCGCACAGGUUCGAAUCCUAUCGGCGACG